UACAAAGAAGAUGACCAUAUACUGUCCUG
rnacentral:piRNA from 1 species